AAAUUUUAAACUUCUUGUACCUUUGGACUGGCUCGAUGGUCAUAUUUUCUAAGUACAAGUUUAUAUGACGACUUAUGAAUUUGUUCAAAAAUACAUGUUCGAAUUUGUCCACCAUAGCACCCGCUGAUUGCUUGAUGAGAACCGGUUAUGAUAUUCAGAUAACUUCCUGCAGAUAGCAAUAAUUACUGCAACCUGGCAAAUAAAACUUAAAGCCAACCACCAUUUUUAAUCCACAACUUGAGAAUCGAGGGUUCAUCUAAUCACACUCCCUCAGAACCAACCAACACAACCUUGAAUAAAUUGGACUUGGAUCACCAAUUGGGAGAUGAUGAACAGGCCACUUUUGUAAUCGCUCAAGAAAAUUAGAAGUGCAAAGGUUGUAUUGGACUAUAAAAAUCUUGUUACCUAGCUUAGAUAAAAGGAUUAUUUAUAAUAGAAACAACCUUCCUAGUCGGGUGUAAAUGGACCUUAGAGUUUUUUUUAAAGUAAUGCUUGCUCAAAGGUCGCAACAAACACUACUACACAAUCCUAUAGCACUGCUGGCCUCCAACUCCCUGUCACUGCCGGUUUCAGAUCCAUCAUCUGAAAUUCAGCGGUGAUGGGGUGUCGGUGUUUAGACCCAGCAACCUACUGAGGGGGUACCCGAGGUAGUGUUUUAUGCGUGGGGCUCGGCAAGAUCAAGAACUCAAAAGUCAACUCAAACACACAAUUUAGAUAGGUACGUGCUACUUAUGUCGCGUAAUACCCUACAUCUUGUGUAUUGGUUAGAUUGUAUUGAUUGAAAAUGUUUUAAUGGUAAAUCCACAGUAGGUACGGUAUGCGGCCAGACCUCGCCGUACUGGUAGAUCCAACCCCAGCCUGCCAGUGCCGACAACAACACGCAUUAUUAGGGAAGUCUCGAUGGCAAACAAAUUACAGAAGAUUAACUAAACAUACAGUCAUGUAAGCUGUGAAAGAGUACCAUACCGAUCUCAUCUCACGUGCCCAAGGUUUCUAUGAUUCAACCUAAUUGCUGACGUGAGCAAGUUAAUUCCUUUCUAGUUUAUUGCCUUUCGUAACAAAACUAAUGAUGUUUCUUUCUUAUGACUACUGCUGGAUGGCACUUCUGUGGAGACCGUCAUUUGCAUUGGCUCAUACGUGCCGGGCGGAAGUGUACCGGUGCAUUAUGUCCUUUUCGCAAUGACGACAGCAAUCAAACCGGUUCUGUUGUACACCGCAUAAAUGACAUAUGCUAGCCCAGGAGGGUUGGUUCCCUGGCAACUACAACGGGAAGGGUUGGUUCGUCACAGCACAGGACUACCACAGGAAAACAUACUUCCACAAAACCAACAGGUUAGAUCAUUUUCCGAUGAAAUCAUCUGAAACUAGUACUUCCUCAGGUCAGAAAUAUAAGACGCUCUGACGAGUGGGACUAGCACGCAGUUAGUUGAAACUUCUUGUCGGGAACAUCAUAUAUGUAUAUUCCUAGCCCAAGGGAUUAUACACAGUGUUUUAUCAUAUACGCAAGGUUUUAUCAUGUUGUGCCAUGCAUCAUCUUGUCAGUACGAUUAUCGGCGAAUUUAUAGGCAAUUAUUUUGUUGAUGAAUUAUUCUAUAACUGCCACAAAAAUGUUAUUAUAAUUUAAAAAAUGUAUCAGUGCCAUAUAUAGCUGUUGGUAGGGAAAUCGAAUGUAGCUGAUAAUUGUUUCAAAGACUAGCUAGAGUAAAAAUAACUUGUUGCUGAACCUAUGUGGGGGGAGGUUGAGCCGGCGAAAAUAAGUGCUUCGGUAUAUAGUACAAAGAGAAUGGGUGCACCUAUGUCUUGCCUUUGUCAAUGCAAGACUUGUGUGGUUGCGGUUUAAGCGCGAUGUUGUGGAUGACAAUCUUGAUCAAGACUCCCUGAGAGUUACGCAGAUGCAAUGUCACAGUCGUAAUGAAUCUCUUGUCCUCUGGAGCUGGAAUAGGAAAGUUUGUUGGCAAGAAGGAACACCCAAGGAAGACUUUGAUGCCUCCCGUCCCCAAAUAUGGCAAGUGAUCUUCACAAGACGUUCAUGCAACCCUAUCGAACCUCUUGUCAUGUGUAAGACCUAUGGACCACGGCUCCUGUCCAGUCAAGACCUUGGAUUUGACAAAUCAGAAGCAUUAAGCUGCUAGAUUGAUACCUAGCCUAUAUAUCCUACAGCUGCCAUUUUCUUGACAAAAUUUUUCUACAACUGUAGUGUGCUACAUUCCUUUGAUGUUAGAAAUUAUCAUGUACUUUAAUGUGAUGAGUGGUGCACUUGUUGUUAGAUCAUCGAUCUGUUCUUCUGCUCCAAGACGGCAUCGAUAUUCACCGCAAACUAGUCAUAUAUCCUACACGAUUGCGUUGGUAACUUUGUAUAUUGCAGACACGCACACGCACACGAAGGUUGUUAGUUAGCUAAAAAAGUUGGUAAAUGAACUGAAGUCCACUACUCUAAAUUACUUUUACAUGACACGGUCACAGGUGACCAGCAAUCAUGCCCGCUGUCAAAGAUGUGUCACAAAUAACUUAUAGAAGGUGACGGGCAAACACCCAUCACCAAUGAUGGAUUAGAGUUGACAGGCAACACUUAACACCGGUCACCAUUCACUAGUGAUCUUUGAAUUUAAACUUUAGCUAGCCUUAGCUUGGACAUGUUCCAUCCUGGUUGAGUUGUUAUUAAUGAUAUAGUAACAUAAGGAUCUUCAUUUGCAGGAAUUUAAUUAGCCCAGCUCAUGAUCGUUGUCACAGGUGGUAAGCUGUGGGAGAAAGGAAAACAAGCCUUGCUCGAAAAGUAAACGCAGCAAACAUUUGGGUGAUUCGGACAGGCUCUCAGCAGGAUAGUCUCGAUUCCUUAAGGCAAAACUUGACUCAAUCUUAGAUGUCGUGAGCAAAUUGUUGACACAUUCUUGUAUUCCAUUAUGUCGAGUACGUUCCAGGUUGAGCUGAUGACUUACGAGUCGUAUGUAGGGGUGAUAAAAGGGCCCUCUAAUUUAGCCUAGAAAACUUAAGGAUCGGGCUCAAUAAAGGCCGGGUCAUAAUAUUAUAUGAUUUUGAACUAAAAAUAGAUAGGGCUGAGUUGGAUUGUGAAGGAGGCAUGAGGGUCAUGAUCCAUUACCACCUCUAGUCAUAUGUACAAGAGAUUGGUUUAUGGUUAUCAAGCAGGUAUUAAGUACUCCCGCCGUCCCAGAAAAAAUAAGUCGUUUUAGGAUUGUCCUAAGUCAAAUUUUUCUGAGUUUUGCCAAGAUAAUAGAAAAAACUACAAAUAUUUAUGGUAUGAAAUAAGUACCAUUAGAUUUAUCUUGAGAUAUAUUUUUAUAAUGUACGUAUUUAAUGCCGUAAACAUUGAUAUUUUUCUCUAUAAAUUUGAUCAAAGUUGGAAAGUUUGACUUAAGACAAACCGAGAAUGACUUGUAUUUUUGGGACAGAGGGAAUAUGCUCUAUUAAAUACAUAUAGAUUCAUACAUUUCAAUUGCAUACAAUAAACUUCAUUACUAGCGGAACCUACUAACCACAGCCACAGGAGCAACUGUCUCCGGAAUCGCCAACAGUGCCGCAUGAUCAGCCACUGCAAUCCCCAUGUGACAUAUACGAUUGCUAGACAAUGCCAUGCGCGGAAUAUGCACACGCCUGGUGCGUUUGAUUCGAUUCUCAGGUCAAGAUUUCUUACAAUUUCACCUACCACAUCGAUGUGAUUUUGGUAAGGGAUAUUUUUCGUUUUAAAUUCACCUGUGGAGGACCCCUUAGUAUCAGCUCAUAACAGCAACCAGUACCAAGUGGCCUGGACCGUCUAUCCACCACAAAUAUACCAGCUUAAUAAGCUAGACCUAUUACUAAUGCUAAUAUUCGUAUCGAGUCUUAUUUUAGCUGGUAUAUUUGUUGGGGAUUUAUAGUGGUUUCUAUAGUAGUGAGUCCUCACCGGUGAGUAUAUAUAUUCCCUCUCUUUCUUCCUCUCUGUUGCUUCGCUCAAGGUACAUCCUGUAGUAGUUCCUCUCUGUUGCCUCUAACUGGUAAAUCUAAACAGAGACCCAGUGUAAACGAAUUUUAGCACCUGUUAAAAUCAGAUUAGUACACAUUUUUUACUCUACAUACAUACAUAUAUAUAAAUAUAUGUAUACAAAUAAAUAUAUAUUGACCAGCUUUAACGCCUUGUGGAAUUGGAUCUAGCUAUCAGCUUCACUGUACUCCUGCCCUUGGCUGCUAGCCUGCUACUCCUGCACCACGUGGAAAGGAAUUUAUGCGUAGAAAACAUAAUCCUGUUCAUAGCUGCUAGCCUGCUACGCGUGCGCCACGCGCAAAGGAAUAGACCUAAACAAAGUGAAGGAUGCCCAGAGGGUGCUUUGUCAUCGUGCAAUGAAUCUGAACGGGAUGCAUUGCUCAGUUCUUCAGCUACUAGUGCCUAAAAUAUGAUAGUGGCAUUGCAUGAGCAUCAAGCUAGUAGGGUGACUGAGCUGAGUGAGCACAGGUAACUUGGUGCCAACGGUGAACAGUAAUGCCAAGGCCAUGCACACUUCAGGUGUCGCGGUAAUAAACAACAACUAUUUGAUCGAAAAGAAACCAAUCGGGAAUCUUGGAGAUUUUGUAGUAGUGUUCAAUGUCUUCUAGCGGCUUAUCUCCUAAGCUCAACAUUCCAUCAUCUAAGCAAGUAGAAGCUGAGAGGGAUUUACACCUACCGCUACACAGAGUGUCUUCCAGGAUUCUCGAGUAUUUUUUUUAUUGCCAAUGACCAUAUAGCUUGCCUCCUCUAGAAAUUUCUUCAAUAGGCAAGGGUUUUACCUCUAUGAGAUGUCCCUAUCUGAGUACAAAAACCUGGACCACUUAGAAAAUGAUGAACAAAGACAGCAGUCGUUGGUGUCCGAAGAAAAAUAAAUUAAAGAUGCAUUUUUAGAAAUUUUAAACUUCUUGUACCUUUGGACUGGCUCGAUGGUCAUAUUUUCUAAGUACAAGUUUAUAUGACGACUUAUGAAUUUGUUCAAAAAUACAUGUUCGAUUUGUCAACCAUAGCACCCGCUGAUUGCUUGAUGAGAACCGGUUAUGAUCUUCAGAUAACUUGCUGCAGAUAGCAAUAAUUACUGCAACCUGGCAAAUAAAACUUAAAGCAAGCCACCAUCUUUAGUCUGCAACUUGAGAAUCAAGGGUUCAUCUAAUCACACUCCCACAGAACCAACCAACACAACCUUGAAUAAAAUGGACCUAGAUCACCAAUUGGGAGCUUGGGCCACUUUUGUAAUCGCUCAAGAAAAUUAGAAGUGCAAAGGUUGUAUUGCACUAUAAAAAUCUUGUUACCUAGCUUAGAUCAAAGGAUAAUUUAUAAUAGAAACAACCUUCCUAGUCGGGUGUAAAUGGACCCUUGCUCAAAGGUCGCAACAAACACUACUACACAAUCCUAUAGCACUGCUGGCCUCCAACUCCC
rnacentral:lncRNA from 1 species